AUCCGAUCCGACGGGCGGCUUGGCAUCGGGCAACGGGGGCUGGCAUGCAGACGGGCCUCCGUGGAGUCCAGGCUGCUUCCCUGGGGAGGGAUGCACUGAGCAUGAUCCUUGGAUUUCCAACCUGCUGUUGCAACUUCCUAUCAGAGCUCCUCUUGCCAGGAACAAAGCGACAGCCGUCUGCUGGUGAGCUGGGCUAAUCCUGUUAAACAAUUCACAGAUCUGACGCCGGACACGCUUUUUGAAACCUGAGGAACAGGAAAGGAGAUACAGUCAUGGAGGGAAGAUGGCCAUGUGAAGAAGGCAGAGAUUGGAGUGUUGUUGCCACAAGCUGAGGAAUGUCUGGAGCUGCAGGAGCCCGGAGGAAGCCGGGAAGCAUCCUUCCCUAGUGCCUGCAGAGGGAGCCUGGCCAGCCGACACAUUGAUUUCUGACUUCUGGCCUCCAGAGCUGCGAGCUACUCAGUUUCUGUUGUUUUCAGCCACCCAGUUGUGGUGACUUGCUGCGGUAGCCCCCAGAGACCAGGACGCCAGCCCAGGGAUGAGGGUGCUGGUCCUGGGGGUGUCAAUGCACUGGCACAUCCCGCUUGACCCUGGAGUGGCCAGAGAAAGCCCUGGGCAGAGGUGUGGGCAGAGGUGGCAGGUGUGGGCAGAGGUGGCAGGUGCUGGCAGAGGUGGCAGGUGUUGCGGGAAGUCAGGGACCCCGAACGGAGGGAUGGGCUGAAGCCGUGGCAGAAGAACAUAAAUUGUGAAGAUUUCAUGGACAUUUAUUAGUUCCCCAAAUUAAUACUUUUAUAAUUUCUUACGCCUGUCUUUACUGCAAUCUCUGAAUAUAAAUUGUGAAGAUUUCAUGGACACUUAUCACUUCCCCAGUCAAUACUCUUGUGAUUUCCUAUGCCUGUCUUUGCUUUAACCUCUUAAUUCCGUCAUUUUCAUAAGCUGAGGACGUAUGUCACCUUAGGACCCUGUGAUGAUUGCAUUAACUGCACAAAUUGUUUAAACAAUUUGAAAUCUGGGCAUCUUGAAAAAAGAACAGGGUAAGAGCGAUGUUCAGGGAACAAGGGAGGUAACCUUAAAGUCUGGCUGCCUGUGGGCUGGGUGGGACAGAGCCAUAUUUCUCUUAUUACUGAAAACGGGUAAGAGAAAUAUCGCUGAAUUCUUUCCCCAGUGAGGAAUAUUAAUAAUUAACAGCCCUGGGAAAAGAAUGCAUUCCCAGGGUGGGGCCUCUGAAAUGGCCGCUCUGGGGGUGUCUGCCUUAUGCAGAUGUAGAUAGGGAUGAAACAUGCCCUAGUCUCCGGCAGCGCCCCCAGGCUUGCUAGGAUUAGGAAAUUCCAGCCUGGCAAAUUCUAGUCAGACCUGUUUUCUGCUCUUGAACCCUGACAAUGCGUGCACAGCGGGACAUGGAAGUUCAUUAGUGGAUUCUAGUUUCGCCCUGACCUUCUGCCUUGUGAUCUUUUGUCGCCCUUGAAGCAUGUGAUCCCUGUGACCCACACCGUAUCCGUGCACUCCCUCCCCUUUUGAAAAUCACUAAUAAAAACUUGCUGGUUUUGCGGCUUGUGGGGCAUCACGGAACCUGCCGACAUGUGAUGUCUCCCCCGGAUGCCCAGCUUUAAAAUUUCUCUCUUUUGUACUCUGUC
rnacentral:lncRNA from 1 species